rnacentral:rRNA from 1 species
CCUACGGGUGGCAGCAGUGGGGAAUAUUGGGCAAUGGGCGCAAGCCUGACCCAGCAAUGCCGCGUGAAGGAAGAAGGCUUUCGGGUUGUAAACUUCCUUGACGGGGGAAGAGAAGAAGACGGUAUCCUGCAAACAAGCCACGGCUAACUACGUGACAGCAGCCGUGGUAAUACGUCGGUGGCAAGCGUUGUCCGGAUUUACUGGGUGUAAAGGGCGUGUAGCCGGGAAGGCAAGUCAGAUGUGAAAUCUGGAGGCUCAACCUCCGAAUUGCAUUUGAAACUGUUUUUCUUGAGUACUGGAGGGGCAGACGGAAUUCCUUGUGUAGCGGUGAAAUGCGUAGAUAUAAGGAGGAACACCAGUGGCGAAGGCGGUCUGCUGGACAGCAACUGACGGUGAGGCGCGAAAGCGUGGGGAGCAAACAGGAUUAGAUACCCCAGUAGUC